rnacentral:sRNA from 1 species
GUCCCCCUCCGGAUGAUUGACAGUGUGGAGAGCCGUGAUAUGUUCCAGUUGCACAUUUCCUGCAAGGACUCCAAAGUGGUGAGGUGCCACUUCUCCACUUUCAAGCAGUGCCAAGAGUGGCUCUCACGGCUAAGCCGAGCUACAGCAAGACCUGCCAAGCCUGAGGACCUCUUUGCCUUUGCCUACCAUGCCUGGUGCCUGGGGCUGACCGAGGAGGACCAGCACACUCACCUAUGUCAGCCAGGUGAGCACAUACGUUGUCGACAGGAGGCGGAGCUUGCAAGAAUGGGCUUUGACCUGCAGAACGUCUGGAGAGUCUCACACAUCAACAGCAACUACAAAUUGUGCCCCAGUUACCCCCAGAAGCUGCUGGUUCCUGUGUGGAUCACUGACAAAGAGCUGGAGAAUGUGGCUUCCUUCCGCUCCUGGAAGCGGAUCCCCGUGGUUGUGUAUAGGUGAGGCAGUGGGGCUGGGAAGUAGGGAGGCCAUUUCUUACGCAACAAGGAAAGAGUCAAAACUGGAGGUUUUGGGUAACCUGGUUGACUGAGAAUUGACACUCUAUGGGGAAGUAGGAAAUAAUUUUUAAAAAAAGUAUCUUAGUUUUUUCUCCUAAGAAUAAGGCUAUUAGG